rnacentral:rRNA from 1 species
AUUGAACGCUGGCGGCAGGCCUAGCACAUGCAAGUCGAGCGGUUGAAGGUUGCUUGCUCCUGGCUUCAGCGGCGGACGGGUGGGUAAUGCCUAGGCAUCUGCCUGGUAGUGGGGGCUAACGUCCGGAAACGGGCGCUAAUACCGCUUACGUCCUGAGGGCGCAUGAGUGGGAUCUUCGGACCUCACGCUGUUAUAUGACCCUGGGUCGGAUUAGCUAGUUGGUGGGUUAAAGGCCUACCAAGGCGACGAUCCGUAACUGGUCGGAGAGGAUGAUCAGUCACACUGGAACUGAGACAGGGUCCAGACACAUACGGGAGGCAGCAAUGGGGAAGAUUGGACAAUGGGCGAAAGCCCGAUCCAGCCAUGCCGCGUGUGUGAAGAAGGUCUUCAGAUUGUAUAGCACUUUAAGUUGGGAGGAAGGGCAGUAAGUUAAUACCUUGCGGUUUUGAAGGUACCAACAGAAUAAGCACCGGCUAACUUCGUG